GAGGAGGUAGCCAACACUGUUUUAUAUAUAUAUAUAUAUAUAUUUUUUUUUUUUGAUUGGGGUAGCCCCCAAAAUAUAGGGACAUAUAAAAAAAAGACAACUCUGUUCUGCAGAGUAGCUGUUGACAUUAUAUUUGCGCAGGCACUUUGUUGACUCUAGAGAACCUCGGGCCAAUCGCACAUCCCCCUGGCGGAAACUUAGCAUGCAGAUGUCAUCCAUAUCAACUUUCGAUGCCAGUUUCUGCGCCUACCAUGGUGACCACGGGUAACAGUAAAUCAGUGUUCUAUUCCGUACAGGGACCCUGAGAAACGGCUACCACAUGCAAGGAAGGCAGCAGGCGCGAAAAUGACCCACUCCCGACGAGGGAAGGUAGUGAC
rnacentral:rRNA from 1 species